rnacentral:rRNA from 1 species
UCGAGAAUUUUUCUCAAUGGGGGAAACCCUGAAGGAGCGACGCCGCGUGGAGGAUGAAGGUCUUCGGAUUGUAAACUCCUGUCAUUGGUGAACAAGGCCAUCGGGUAACUACCGAAUGGUUUGAUAGUAGCCGAAGAGGAAGAGACGGCUAACUCUGUGCCAGCAGCCGCGGUAAUACAGAGGUCUCAAGCGUUGUUCGGAUUCAUUGGGCGUAAAGGGUGCGUAGGCGGCAGGGUAAGUCUGGUGUGAAAUCCCGGGGCUCAACCCCGGAACUGCACUGGAUACUGCUUUGCUAGAGUACUGGAGAGGGAACUGGAAUUUACGGUGUAGCAGUGAAAUGCGUAGAUAUCGUAAGGAAGACCAGCGGCGAAGGCGAGUUCCUGGACAGUUACUGACGCUGAGGCACGAAGGCCAGGGGAGCAAACG